ACGGAAGGCAGCAGUGGGGAAUAUUGCACAAUGGGGGAAACCCUGAUGCAGCGACGCCGCGUGAGUGAUGAAGUAUUUCGGUAUGUAAAGCUCUAUCAGCAGGGAAGAAAAUGACGGUACCUGACUAAGAAGCACCGGCUAAAUGCGUGCCAGCAGCCGCGGUAAUACGUAUGGUGCAAGCGUUAUCCGGAUUUACUGGGUGUAAAGGGAGCGUAGACGGCAUAGCAAGCCAGAUGUGAAAGGUGGGGGCUCAACCCCCAAGCUGCAUUUGGAACUGUUAAGCUAGAGUAUCGGAGAGGUAAGUGGAAUUCCUAGUGUAGCGGUGAAAUGCGUAGAUAUUAGGAGGAACACCAGUGGCGAAGGCGAUCUACUGGACGAUAACUGACGCUGAGGCGCGAAAGCGUGGGGAGCAAACAGGAUUAGAUACCCUGGUA
rnacentral:rRNA from 1 species